AGGCUUGGGAGUCCCCUAAGACACAUCCUCAGUCACUUCUCUCUGCCUGUGUCUCAGGAAGACCAGCUCCUCCUACUGUCUUCUGUAGUAGGGAUCACUUCCUUGUUGAGUGGGGCCUGAGUUUUCAGAGGAUCUUCUGCUCCUCUUCAUCUGGUCCCUUUCCUUCCGAGGCCCCCGAGAGGAAGGCAUGUGGUGGGCCCUAGCGGUGCUUCUAGCUUUCCUGUCUCCUGCCAGUCAGAAAUCUUCCAACUUGGAAGGGGGAAUGAAGUCAGUCACCAGGCCGACUGGGUCAUCUGCUGAAAUCACUUGUGAUCUUACUGUAACAAAUGCCUUGUACAUCCACUGGUACCUACACCAGGAGGGGAAGGCCCCACAGCGUCUUCUGUACUAUGACGUCUCCAACUCAAGGGAUGUGUUGGAAUCAGGUCUCAGUCCGGGAAAGUAUUAUACUCAUACACCCAGGAGGUGGAGCUGGAUAUUGAUACUGCGAAAUCUAAUUGAAAAUGAUUCUGGGGUUUAUUACUGUGUCACCUGGUACAGGCACAGUGAUUCAGACCUGCCCUACACCACACUGAAAAUCUGCCUUGUGGCUGCCUCUGGUACACAGGAUAGAGCUGCCCGCUUUCAUUUCCUGCCACCAAAUUUACUAUAUUCUGAACAAGAGAAAGACAGCUUAACUCCUGAUCUCUCUCCUAAUAUCACACUGUCUUGGCAGCAGCUGCACCCUGUUCCCCACCCCUCCCCCAGAACUUUCCUGAAGAUCAAGCUGCCAUCUCCAGGCCUCAGCUAA